rnacentral:rRNA from 1 species
UACGGAGGGGGCGAGCGUUAUUCGGAAUUAUUGGGCGUAAAGGGCGCGUAGGCGGCUUGACAAGUCAAAGGUGAAAUCCCUCGGCUCAACUGAGGAACUGCCUUUGAAACUGUCAGGCUUGAGGCCGGGAGGGGGUAGCGGAAUUCCCAGUGUAGCGGUGAAAUGCGUAGAUAUUGGGAGGAACACCGGUGGCGAAGGCGGUUAGCUGGGCAGUUGCUGACACUGAGGCGCGACAGCGUGGGGAGCAAACAGG